UAGAAUUUCAGGUGUAGCGGUGAAAUGCGUAGAGAUCUGAAGGAAUACCGAUGGCGAAGGCAGCCACCUGGGUCAACACUGACGCUCAUGUACGAAAGCGUGGGGAGCAAACAGGAUUAGAUACCCUGGUAGUCCACGCCGUAAACGAUGUCUACUAGAAGCUCGGAGCCUCGGCUCUGUUUUUCAAAGCUAACGCAUUAAGUAGACCGCCUGGGGAGUACGGCCGCAAGGUUAAAACUCAAAUGAAUUGACGGGGGCCCGCACAAGCGGUGGAGCAUGUGGUUUAAUUCGAUGCAACGCGAAGAACCUUACCUACACUUGACAUACAGAGAACUUACCAGAG
rnacentral:rRNA from 1 species